UACGUAGGUGGCAAGCGUUGUCCGGAAUUACUGGGUGUAAAGGGUGCGUAGGCGGUUUUUAAAGUCAGAUGUGAAAUGCCGCAGCUUAACUGCGGAGCUGCAUUUGAAACUUAAAGACUUGAGUGAAGUAGAGGUAAGCGGAAUUCCUAGUGUAGCGGUGAAAUGCGUAGAUAUUAGGAGGAACACCAGUGGCGAAGGCGGCUUACUGGGCUUUAACUGACGCUGAAGCACGAAAGCAUGGGUAGCAAACAGGAUUAGAUACCCUGGUAGUCCAUGCCGUAAACGAUGGAUACUAGGUGUGGGGGGUACUGACCCCCCCCGUGCCGGAGUUAACGCAAUAAGUAUCCCACCUGGGGAGUACGGUCGCAAGAUUGAA
rnacentral:rRNA from 1 species